CGCAAGGGGGCAUCCGUUGAGCGGGGACUAAUAUCAUGAUCCAUGCCCUGCAGUUCCUCUUUUAGAGCUUGGGUGGCGCCUUGUGCCUUGUUAUUCCGGCUCCCCCACUGUCUCCUUAGAACUCAGAAUCAUCAGUGCAGCGCACCUGUCUUCAAGCAGCACUGACGACUGCCCACAUUUAAUGCUUGUCAAGUCUUGCAGUCCUCGCCUGGGUAGUGACAGUAUUUUUUUUACUUACUGGCUGACUCUCGGACUUCUAUAUUUUGUGAUUCGAUUGUAAUUAUACUACAACCCACAUGGUACUCACGUGAUUUUGUUAUUCCCCAUCUCCAGUGUCUGUCCAAAUGGUGCCGACCUGGCAUUCCUUUUGUUCUCUUAACAUCUGUGGAGGAAGUGAAAGAGUUCACCAAUGUCAAAAAGGAAGAUGAGCAGUCCUUGAACAAAAUCCAACAGUUCCUUGGUGCGAGGAGGGAUCAGCAGUUAAAUUAAUGUCUGCUGGAGCAGAUGGGCCAUGCUUUUCUUUUCAGGUUUGAAAAGCAGAAGAAUAUGACCAACAAAUAGUUUAAAAAAGAAAAAAAAAGGUCCCCUGGCUAGGAAAGGAAGCCAGAAUGUCACUUCACGUCCUUUGGCCGUAACACAAGUGCACACACACACACACACGCAGACACAAAGACAAACACACAUGUCCAGAGGUUGACAUACAGUAUUUUACAUUAUAUCACAAAACUAAUUAGGGUGUGAUAAAUUGGGGGUAAAUGCACAUGACUGAACCAUAGGGGAUUUAUGAGAGAUCAUAUUUAACUUGUGGUUUCUUGAAUAAUCUUGCACAAAUUUAUUUGUACAUGACUUUCCAAAGAAUAAGAACAAUAGACCAAACAUGAGGACAAUGGCACUGUGUUGUUGCUGAAAAGAGGAGGGCCUAAAGGAUGAAACAGCUUAAAACAAGGUCUGAAACAUGUCAGUGAUUAUUGACAAUUAUUAUUCUGCAGCCAGUCUCGAGGACUCCAAGAUCAUGGUAGUAACACAAGGUUACAUAAUCACAACAGUUACUUUGCAAAUGGUAUAGCAACAAAAGAUGCAUACUGUAUGACUGAAAAAUAAAGGUUGACUGGGCUCUAUUUUUUAAUUAGGCCAUUCCACUGAAACAGUGAAACAGUGGUGUAAACAAACAAAAUCAACUUAAUUUUUCU